AGGGUCACCGAAAAGACAGUGAUAAGUCCCGGAGCCGCAAAGAUGAUGACAGCUUGUCUGAGGCCUCUCAUUCAAAAAAGACUGUUAAAAAGGUGGUGGUAGUGGAACAAAAUGGUUCUUUUCAAGUAAAGAUUCCCAAAAAUUUUGUUUGUGAACACUGCUUUGGAGCCUUUCGGAGCAGUUACCACCUAAAGAGGCACAUCCUUAUUCACACUGGUGAGAAGCCAUUUGAGUGUGAUAUAUGUGAUAUGCGUUUCAUCCAGAAGUACCACCUGGAACGCCACAAGCGUGUGCACAGUGGUGAAAAGCCUUACCAGUGUGAACGGUGUCAUCAGGUAAGGCUCAUCCCUGCUACAAUCCCCCACACACACUUUUCCUUCCCCAAGAAUCAGGGCCACCCUCCACUCCUGCCUGACAAAAGAGCCACCAGCGUUACUCACCAUAAUAGUUAACACAUCGGGGUGAAGUGCAUCUGUCUGGCCUUAUGCAGCUGAUCAUGGGGAGGAGCAAUUAGAACAUUGUAAUAAUAAUAAUAAUAGCAUUUCAUGAUCACUUACUCUAUGCCAGGCACUGUGAGAGCAUACUUUACAUAGAUGAUUUUAUUUAAUCAUCAUAUUGACU
rnacentral:sRNA from 1 species